rnacentral:rRNA from 1 species
GUAGUUAGCCGGGGCUUCCUCCUUGGCUACCGUCACUUUCUUCGUCACCAAGGACAGAGGUUUACAACCCGAAAGCCUUCUUCCCUCACGCGGCGUUGCUGGGUCAGGCUUGCGCCCAUUGCCCAAUAUUCCCCACUGCUGCCUCCCGUAGGAGUCUGGACCGUGUCUCAGUUCCAGUGUGGCCGAUCAGCCUCUCAGCUCGGCUACCCAUCGUUGGCUAGGUGGGCCGUUACCCUACCAACUGGCUAAUGGGACGCGGGCCCAUCCUAAGGCGAUAAAUCUUUGUCAUCUCCAGCAUGUGCUAAAAAUGAAUCAUGGGGUAUUAGCACCAGUUUCCUGGUGUUAUCCCUCUCCUUAGGGCAGGUUGCCCACGUGUUACUCACCCGUCCGCCGCUAGAAUGUCCCGAAGGGCAUUCCCGCUCGACUUGCAUGUGUUAGGCACGCCGCCAGCGUUCGUCCUGAGCCAGAAUCAAACUCUGA